CACUAUGCCUAGCCAUAAACAUUGAUAGUAACCUACACCCACUAUCCGCCCGGGAACUACGAGCAUCAGCUUAAAACCCAAAGGACUUGGCGGUGCUUUAGAUCCACCUAGAGGAGCCUGUUCUAGAACCGAUUACCCCCGUUCAACCUCACCUUUCCUUGUCCCUCCCGCCUAUAUACCACCGUCGUCAGCUUACCCUGUGAAGGACUCAUAGUAAGCAAGAUUGGCAUAGCCCAAAACGUCAGGUCGAGGUGUAGCGUAUGGAAAGGGAAGAAAUGGGCUACAUUCCCUAACACAGAGAACUACGAAUGAUACGCUGAAAUACGUAUCUGAAGGAGGAUUUAGCAGUAAGCAGAAAAAAGAGCGUUCCGCUGAAACCGGCCCUGAAGCGCGCACACACCGCCCGUCACUCUCCCCGAGCUCAUCAACCUUAAAUACCUAAAACCUAAAUACUGCAAAGGGGAGGCAAGUCGUAA
rnacentral:rRNA from 1 species